UACGAAGGGGGCUAGCGUUGCUCGGAAUCACUGGGCGUAAAGGGUGCGUAGGCGGGGCUUUAAGUCAGGGGGGAAAUCCUGGAGCUCAACUCCAGAACUGCCUUUGAUACUGAAGAUCUUGAGUUCGGGAGAGGUGAGUGGAACUGCGAGUGUAGAGGUGAAAUUCGUAGAUAUUCGCAAGAACACCAGUGGCGAAGGCGGCUCACUGGCCCGAUACUGACGCUGAGGCACGAAAGCGUGGGGAGCAAACAGG
rnacentral:rRNA from 1 species